AUUGAACGCUGGCGGCAGGCCUAACACAUGCCAGUCGCGCUAGCGGCGGACUGGUGAGUAAUGUCUGGGAAACUGCCUGAUGGAGGGGGAUAACUACUGGAAACGGUAGCUAAUACCGCAUACCAUCAGAUGUUCCCAGAUGGGAUUAGCUAGUAGGUGUGGUAACGGCUCACCUAGGCGACGAUCCCUAGCUGGUCUGAGGGGAUGACCAGCCACACUGGAACUGAGACACGGUCCAGACUCCUACGGGAGGCAGCAUGGGGGAAUAGUGCAGAAUGGGCGCAAGCAUGAUGCAGCCAUGACGCGUGUGUGAAGAAGGCCUUCGGGUUGUAAAGCACUUUCAGCGGGGAGGCGUUACCCGCAGAAGAAGCACCGGCUAACUCCGUGCCAGCAGCCGCGGUAAUUC
rnacentral:rRNA from 1 species